UUCCGUAGGGUGACCUGCGGAAGGAUCAUUG
rnacentral:rRNA from 3 species